CUACCCUUGACAUGCCAGAAAUCCCGGAGAGAUUUGGGAGUGCCCGAAAGGGAAUCUGGACACAGGUGCUGCAUGGCUGUCGUCAGCUCGUGUCGUGAGAUGUUGGGUUAAGUCCCGCAACGAGCGCAACCCUUAUCAUUAAUUGCCAUCAUUUAGUUGGGCACUUUAAUGAGACUGCCGGUGAUAAACCGGAGGAAGGUGGGGAUGACGUCAAGUCCUCAUGGCCCUUAUGGGUAGGGCUUCACACGUAAUACAAUGGUCGGUACAGAGGGUUGCCAACCCGCGAGGGGGAGCUAAUCUCAGAAAGCCGAUCGUAGUCCGGAUUGUUCUCUGCAACUCGAGAGCAUGAAGUCGGAAUCGCUAGUAAUCGCGGAUCAGCAUGUCGCGGUGAA
rnacentral:rRNA from 1 species